rnacentral:ncRNA from 1 species
UGAAAGUCGAUGAAUAGGACUAGUAGUAAUUGACGUUUUUUAUAGAGAAUCAGUGGCUGGUGGAAACUGAUAAAACGGGUUAUGAACUCACCUAGGAGAUGCAGCGGGGAAUUAAGUAGUCGUUGUCGUUAACUGCGUUAAAGUUUUGAGGGCUAGGUCUUUUAGACUUGGAACUAAGGUGGUAACGCGAUUAAAAGUCGUCCUUAGA